UGAAAUGCGCACGGAACGCGCUCGCAGGCGCCGCACAAGCGAGGCUCCGGCGCCCGCCCUCACGUACCCGUUGUGUGUACAAACGCGCGCACGUGGUCGUGCAGUGCCACUUGGCUCCCGGAGGCAGGUGUAUCAGUACGGAGUUGGUGUGCAAGGUUUGCACGUGGGAACACCAUGCAAGCGUGAAUAGACUGCACCUACACGUCCGGGUCACACCGUACAAGAGCGAUUUCCUGCAAGGUGCUGGGAGAAAUAAGGAACAGGCUCAUUAAGCACCAGGCCAGCGAGAAUCGGAUUUCAUGACAAUCAAUUUUUACUUUUCAACAGUUUCAUGAAUGCAAACCCCUCCCCCACCCUCUUUUCUUUCUCAAGGAGCUACAUACAGACUUUUGCAAGAUGCUGGGAGAUUAUGAGGAGUGGGAUCUACAGCUCAGAGCUAAAAAAAAGUAAGAAAUCCCCAAACAUUGCAGGAUGGAAUAGAAUAGUGCU